AGAGUUUGAUCCUGGCUCAGGAUGAACGCUGGCGGCGUGCUUAACACAUGCAAGUCGAACGAAGAUACUUAAAAUGAGAGCUUCGGCAGGAUUUUUAUUUAUCUUAGUGGCGGACGGGUGAGUAACGCGUGGGCAACCUGCCCUAUACUGGGGAAUAAUCACUGGAAACGGUGACUAAUACCGCAUGUCAUUACGGAAGGGCAUCCUUCUGUAAGAAAAGGAGUAAUUCGGUAUAGGAUGGGCCCGCAUCUGAUUAGCUAGUUGGUGAGAUAACAGCCCACCAAGGCGACGAUCAGUAGCCGACCUGAGAGGGUGAUCGGCCACAUUGGGACUGAGACACGGCCCAAACUCCUACGGGAGGCAGCAGUGGGGAAUAUUGCACAAUGGGGGAAACCCUGAUGCAGCAACGCCGCGUGAAGGAAGAAGGUUUUCGGUAUCGUAAACUUCUAUCAACAGGGACGAAGAAAGUGACGGUACCUGAAUAAGAAGCCCCGGCUAACUACGUGCCAGCAGCCGCGGUAAUACGUAGGGGGCAAGCGUUAUCCGGAAUUACUGGGUGUAAAGGGAGCGUAGGCGGCACGCCAAGCCAGAUGUGAAAGCCCGAGGCUUAACCUCGGGAUUGCAUUUGGAACUGGCGAGCUAGAGUACAGGAGAGGAAAGCGGAAUUCCUAGUGUAGCGGUGAAAUGCGUAGAUAUUAGGAAGAACACCAGUGGCGAAGGCGGCUUUCUGGACUGAAACUGACGCUGAGGCUCGAAAGCGUGGGGAGCAAACAGGAUUAGAUACCCUGGUAGUCCACGCCGUAAACGAUGAGUGCUAGGUGUCGGGGAGGAAUCCUCGGUGCCGCAGCUAACGCAAUAAGCACUCCACCUGGGGAGUACGACCGCAAGGUUGAAACUCAAAGGA
rnacentral:rRNA from 1 species